rnacentral:rRNA from 1 species
UACAGAGGGUGCGAGCGUUAAUCGGAAUUACUGGGCGUAAAGCGUGCGUAGACGGCUAUCUAAGUCGGGUGUGAAAGCCCCGGGCUCAACCUGGGAACUGCAUUCGAGACUGAAUAGCUAGGGUACGGUAGAGGGAAGCGGAAUUUCCGGUGUAGCGGUGAAAUGCGUAGAUAUCGGAAGGAACAUCAGUGGCGAAAGCGGCUUCCUGGACCAGUACCGACGUUCAGGCACGAAAGCGUGGGGAGCAAACAGG